ensembl:sense_intronic Gm28586 predicted gene 28586
GAAUUCCUGUAGUUGAAGAGUAAGAUUUUGUACGGUACAUUUUUAAUGACAGCUUGGAUAUUGGAAUACUCAACUUUUGUUGUAGCCAAUGAGAGGGAUAUGCCACUAAUGGUAUCUAAAUCAUACAGUACGUACUUUAGGAUGGGGACAAAAAUCACAACGAUUUAUUUAUUUAUUUAUUUACUUAGUGUAUGUGAGUGCACUGUUGGUGUCUUCAGACACACCAGAAGAUGACUUCAGAUCCGAUUACAUAUGGGUUGUGAGCCACCAUGUGGUUGCUGGGAUUUGAACUCUGGACCUCUGGAAGAGCAGUCAGUGCUUGUAACUCUGAGCCAUCUUUCUAGCCCCCCCCCCCCCCGCUAUCUUUUAGAAAUGUAAUUUGCCAUACUUUGAGCAAUGUUCUUGAUGUCAUUAGGAUAUUUCACAGAUAACUUCACUUAAGAUAAUUAGAGCAAA